rnacentral:rRNA from 1 species
UACGUAGGGAGCAAGCGUUGUUCGGAUUUACUGGGCGUAAAGGGCGCGUAGGCGGCGCGGUAAGUCACUUGUGAAAUCUCUGAGCCUAACUCAGAACGGCCAAGUGAUACUGCAGUGCUAGAGUGCAGAAGGGGCAAUCGGAAUUCUUGGUGUAGCGGUGAAAUGCGUAGAUAUCAAGAGGAACACCUGAGGUGAAGACGGGUUGCUGGGCUGACACUGACGCUGAGGCGCGAAAGCCAGGGGAGCAAACGGG